CCAAACUCUUUUUCUACAUCUCUGUCUUCAUCAGUGACUUCUUUUCUCAUUCUGCUCAUCUAAAAGGGUAAGUAUUCCUUAAGAUUCUGGUCUAAGUGAUCUUCUCUUCUUUCCCUACAUUUUCUCUCUGGACCACAUGGUAAUGGCUUCAAAUAUCACCUCUAUACAGAAGGCAUCAAAGUGGAUCUCACUAAUCUUUAUCUCUCUCCAGGGCAUGAGACACUUCCACCCAGCUCUGAGUUUGUCAUACGCCCACUCAAAAGUUGCAGUGGGCUCUCAGGACAAAAUUUUCUACAGAGCAAAUCCAAACUCCACUCUUCACCCUAAAGCUUAAGACCCUCUAUGAUCCUAUUCCAAUCUAAUUUCCUACCAGUUCCUAUUCCAUUCUAUAUUGCAAAUCCUAUACUCCAGCCAAAAGGACUUCCUCACUGUUCUUGCACUUACAAUUUCCUCUCCUUCUGGUCUCUUUACAUUCGUACCUGCCAUUCCCUCUAUGGAGUACGUACACUUCACCACCACACCCCACCUGUGCUUCAAUGGGAAUGUUUUACAAGAUGAUUCAAAAUCUUGAAAACUAAGUAAAAUGCAAACCAUAUGUGACCAGAUUUUGAAAGGAAGUUACCUGUAGCAGACAGAAAUGUAUCUCAUUGAGCUCUCUGUUCACCUCUGUCCACCUAUGCCCACUUCAUGCUCAGCCUUUCGAUAUUCCUUCCUAGAAAAAUAUUCAAGCUUUCUCUCUUUCUGCUGGGCCAGGAGGAGGCUGCGACUUCUGUCCCUUCCUUCUCUUGCAAGUCCCUUCACCCCACUUUCUCUCUGCCUCUCCCCUCUCCAAUUGAUUCUAUACAGAACACACUGUCACACACCAGUAGCCACCUGCAGCAACCACUUUCAACUAUAUUUCCCUACCUUGUUUUUUUUCUGCCCCAUUUAUAAACAAUUACAUUGACAUAACACUCAGCUUAGAUAUCAAAGGCACCCUCUAAUAUAACAUACAUAUGAAUACACAAGCAUGUACACACAGUGUUUAGAACUUUUCAGUUACUAGCUAAUUCUCAGCUCACAUUUUUACUUUUGAUCUGCUUUCCCCAGAUUAACUAAUUCAUGACCCGUGAAACCACUCUGAGCAGGGUUGUCAGGGAAAGUCAUCUUGACUUCAUUUCUGUGCCUCAAGAAAAAAUUGGAGUGUAUGUGAGAGGGCCAAAGGUCUAGGAUGUGGAAAGGAUUCACUGUAGCAAUGCCUCCAAAGGAGGGAAUGGGGUGAUGAUGCCACCUCGAUUUUUUAUUCUUUUAUUGAUUUCCUUUUGGACCUGUCAAAUGAGGUGGUGAGAUGGGCCUUCUCCUCCCUUAAGCUCAACAAUAGAAGUGAAGAUGCCACAAACACACCCAGGAUAAAGGAGAUAAAACCCAAUGGAAGCAAUGUAGGAGGAAAGUACCUCAUUGCCAUUAUUGGAUACAGCCCAACUUGGACAAUGAAUUGCAGCUUUAUCACUAUAAUAGCAGCCUCCUUUCUCUAACCACUUGGGUGAUGAAAGGUUCCAAGUCCUGAUUUCUACAAAAUGAGUAAACAAGGCUGACUGCACUCUUGUGUGAGAAGAAACAGAAUGACUCAUUUUACACCUGUGUUUAUGAGUUAGAAUAGGUGUGCAACACACCAUGAGCCAUGGACUCUGAUUAUAAUAAAAUGUGUUAUCAUCCACAUCUCCAUAAAGUGGGCAAGGGGUUUAAAAUGUAUUGUGGUAGAAAACAUGAACUGGGGACUCAGGCAGUCCUAAGUUUCAACCCUACCUCUACCAUCCAAGAGUUUAAUGACUUUGGACAAGUUCAUUUAACAUAUUUGAGGUUGUUUCCUCAUUUAGGAAAAAAAAAAAGAGGCAGGAAUAUUUAUUUCAUAUGGUAAUUGUGAGAGUAAAAUGAAGUGACAUAAAUGACAGUGCCUGGUAUACUGCAAAAGGACAAAGUGGUGCUUACAAGUUGCUCCCCGUCUCUCUCUGCCCUGCUCCACCACCUGUACUAGGAACAUUUCAGUCCUGUGAGGGGAAGCAGGGUGGGCACCACCUCCUGAUAGGGAUCUAGUGAGGAUUGAACAGACUAACAUGAAUGUCCAGCACAGGACCUGGCACAGAUCACUCAGUAAAAACUCAUUCUCCUUCAAAUUGUGAACUAAUUUUGGCCAAAGUCUUCUGAGUAAAUAUUUGGUAAAGGCUUUUAGAACUUGUUUACAAACACAAUUUCUCCUGCCAGAAAGCUGUGCACCAUCUUGGAGGCUGCUCUCGUUCACCCUCCUCAUCUAAUAUGUUAUCAAGUGUUCUUGAUUCUUCUUCCAAAAUGUAUUUUAAAUUUACUCCUCACCAAUUCUAUUGCCUCCUCCAAUCAUUUUCCAUGAGGAAUCCAGAAUGGUAUUUCAGAAGUGAAAACAUGGGAAUAAAGAUAAUAAGAUGAAGUCAGAUCACAAAAUCUUUCUCUCAUGAUCCUUGACAUAGUAAAUUAAAACAAACACAAAAACAAAAUCACCAACAGCAGCCAAACUAGGUAAGGGAUACCAUGACACACCUUAUGUUUCAACAGUAAUGCACAAAGAGAAGAGCAGACCAUUGUGACAAAUAUAACUGGGCCCCACCUUGUAGAAUCUGGAAAGCGAGGGUCCCCAAGCCCAGGAAUUCUCCUUAGUACCUGCUAUUGAGUAGAGAUGUGGACUGAGAGAUGAGUGGUCUGCUCAGGGAAAAAUCAAGGUGAAAUCCUUCCAUGCGAAUAGAGGAUCUCAGCAAAAGCAGGAACAAGCAACAGCACUGUUGUUUUCCUGGUCUCCACUCUGAGUUGGAGGUGAGAUCUGAAACUGAGGGCCCCUGCCAUGGUGGGGGAGUGAACACCGGGUAGGACAUUUAACAAAAUCUUAGGAGAACAGAGUCCUGUUAUCCAAUAGGCCUCAGAAGAGUUUUCUUCCACCAUCCCUAUCCUACCACCUUCAAGCUACAGAAGCGUAGAUCAAAGAGCACUACUCUACCUCUUAAAUUGUGGCUGGGAGAGGGAGAAGAAUUAUUCUGAAAUACAGUGGGAAAGUUGUGCAUGGGAAGGAAGGAAAGAAGUAUUCAGCUGUAUAAUUUCAGAAUAAAUGGAAGUUCUGAACAGAAGUGUUCAUGUUAAGCACAUACAAGAGAAGAAAUUCAAAGACAACUAUAAGAAAAUGAAAGAGAAAAUAAGCACAGAUAUUUAAAAAAUCUAAAAAAGAAGAAUGGGAAAAAAAGACAGAAACAUAGCAUGGUAAAACCAGGUGAAAUGCCCAUUCUGGAAGAAAAUAUAACUCAAGGAAAAGUAGAAAAUUUCCUACAAAAGCUUCAAGCUAUAGAAGAGUUUAGUAAACACAUGAAUACAAUAAGACAAAAGGUAACAUGUAAGAUUAAAAUUGGGGCAAAAGAAUGGAUUACAGGAAUGCAAACAGAAACCCAAACAACAUUAUUACAGAACCCCCAAAAUAAACUAAUGGCCUUGGAUGACUCUCCAGCCCCAUCCCUAAACCCGGCCCCUCUCUACCUUCUUUCAGGCUCUUGAACACAGCCAGGGCUCCCCCACAGGGUGUUCCCUCUGCUUAGACGUCUCUGUUCUCCUCUCUUUGUUUGGCUACUUUCUUGUUCUUUCAUUCCUCAGUUUUAGGUAUUUCUUCACAAAGGCUGAUCAUGACUCCCCAGCCCAGAUUAGGUCUUCUGAUUAUCCUUUUAAAUAGUAUCCAAUAUUUUUCAAUGUUAUUAUAACUUGUAAUUCUGUAUUUAUUUGAUUAUAUGACUACUAUCUAUCUCUUCAUUGGACUACAACCUCCACAAAGGGUGAAACUGCAGCUUUCUUUUUUGCCAUUGAAUCUCCCCACCAUCUGAGCCAAGGAAAUAGGAAAAAAAAAGAAAUUGGCACAGAAUACUGGUGGAUCUGGUGGAUGAAUCUUCAAGGUUCAUGGAGUCAAGUUUUUCUUCAGCUGAAUCUUUCAACAGGGCAGCCAAGGACAAGAAGGCCUUAUAAAGAGAGAAACUGAAACCCACUGAAAUCCACAGGGAGGAGCCAGAAGCUGGAAGUCGGAGGAAACCAGAAGAGAAGACAUAAGGAGAAAGAAGUUGCCAUGUGAUGAGAUGCAGAGAUGUAAUACUUUCCAACAGAAAUGACCAUCUUUUAGGAAAAAAAGAAGAAGUUCUCAGGAGCCACAAUUCUAAUCAUCUUCCUUUGAUGCAGUUGUGGUCACUCACAAAGCAACCCUGGGUAAAUUAUAGGUGUUGAUUCAGGAUCCUGCCUGUAGAUGCUACUAAUUAAUUUCCCAGGCUCAAGGACAUUGUACUGAAUUUGUGGCCUUACUUCCAAUUUGUGAUCACAAAUUGUAACAUCCAAAACACAGAAAUAUGACUUCACGGAAAAGUCAUCUAGAAAGAGAAUUCUUCCUCAAACACAAAUACCUGUAAUAAUGGUACAGGAAAACAGAAAAUUACCAGGAAAGUAAAUUGCUUUUCUUUAAUUUUUAUAUAAACACUAUUUUUUUCAAGGUCUUCUCAGUGUUUAAACCCCUCUUUUAAAUCACUAAAGUCCCUUCACCCUCUUUUUAAUUUUUCCCUUUCAGUCCUUCUCCUCCUACUUCAUCAAAAGUAAAAGUUAGAAAACCACCUAAAUUAACCCCUUCCCCACAUUAUCAUUUCUGGUUUCCAGGAGUUGUUAAGCAAUCCUAACCCUGACAACCAAUGAUAAAGAAGAGGAAAAGAGGCCAUGGUAAAUGAGAGAUGACUGAUAUGGGGAGAAAUGACACACAAAUGGCAAAUACCCUACUUUGGCAGACAGAGAGCUGAUUUCCUUAUUCCAUAAAGAGCCCUUCAACCUCGUAAGAAUAACAUUGAUGGCCCAAUAGAGAGACUGGCAAAGGAUAUGAACAGGCUGUUCACAUCAAAAGAAAAUUAAGUGGUUUUUAAUCAUUUGAAAAGAUACUCAACCUCAGUUAUAAUUAAAGAAAUGCAAAUUAAAAUAAUAAGAUACGAUAUUUAACCAUUGGGGGCAAUCCUCAUUGUGGGGAAACAAGUCAUAUAUCAUAUUUAGAGUGCAGUUUUAAAAUGCAUGUGCCCUGUGACUCAGUAAUUUUACUUCUAGGAAUAUAUACUACAGGUGUUUUUGCACCAUGGCUCAAAAUAUGCACUCAGGGAUAUUAAUGGCAGCAUGGCUUGUAGAAAUAAAUCACUGGAAAAAACCCAAAUGCCCCUCUGUUUAUUCCAAACAACUACUACAAUACCCAUGGAGGGCCAUGCGAGGAGCUGGUCAUUGUGGGAGCUGGAAGGAUGGACACUGUCAGGAGUGGGACAGUGGGGCGAUUAUCUUCACUGUACACAUUUCUGUACUCUUGGAUGUUUAAAAAGUAAUGUGUAUUAAAAAAUAAAGCCACUAAAACAAAAAUCUUAAAGAUGCUUCUGGAACUUUUGAAUAGAAAACCAAGGAAAAGCAGCCAUGAAAUCUUCAAUUUCAAUUUCUUCCACAAGAACAGACAGUUCCAAGGAUUGAAUAUAAGUCCACACUGCAGAGGACAAUCUGGAAAUAAGCCCCAGGAUUAUAUGCUAUAUUUGUUGCGCUUGCUCUCUUUUGAUAUUAUACAUGGUAUCGUUCUAAAAACGAAGGACUGAAUUUUACUUAUUGUAAUUUUAAUAGCACUUUGCUGUUGCAAUGUCAGAACUUAACACAUAAUAACACUUUAAAUGAAAAUUUUCUAUAAUUUCUCUGGAAAAAAGUUUCUUUUAGAAAUAGUCCCAAUCAUUUAAUUUACCAAAUACCUAUAAUCAUUCACAUUCUUUAGCCAGUCUUCCAGGUUACCAAGUGUAUUUUUACUUUCUGAAACAAAACCCUCGGUGAAAGCUGCCCAUUGUAAGGCCAUGACAUCUAAGAAACCAUAUUCUUAUCUCCAUUACUGUGCAACAUGGGACUUGUGGGUCUUAUAAAUUACUCGCGUAUGCCAAACAAAUUACAUGGAAGAUCAUAGUGUUAAUUUGAAAAGGGAAACAGUUUUAUGGCAUCUAAAGGACUGAAAAAAUUACCUCUAAUCCUUUUGGGAAUCAAAGAGGCAAUAAAGUGAAAUUGAGGGCAGAAAGACUCACAUUGUAAUCCAUUUACUACCAAGCCUUGUUUACGCAGGAUUUAUUUGUGCCAGUAAUAGUCACCAAAGCUUCAUAUCAUGACUUUACCAGAAUUUCAUUUAAAGAAGCAUCUCAUAUUUUUUCACAAAUAGCGUUCAGCUGAUUAAAGCCUAAUUACACACAUUGAAUUAAAGGUGUGGGUAUAUAAGAAAAUGUUUCAGCUAAAAGGAAUCUGUGCUGGUGUUUGAUUUCCAGCUAGUAAUUUGGCUGGAAUAAAAUGGAAACAAGAAAACAGAAUUGUUUAAAAGGUGCAGUUUUAUGACAACAUGCAUUUCUAAAGUGGAAAACGAGAUAGACAAAUACACCGCACACUUUUUAAAUGGGAUGUGCUGAAGUCUGAAACGGCCUUUUCUAUUACCCAACAUUUACAAUAAGAAUAUUACAAACCACACGCACGGAGGCCAACAGCCAGAAAAAACAUAUUUCCAUUUUAACGCCUUUAGAUGAUCAAAGCAUCAGCUUAAUAUAAUCAGCUGAAACCCAUUUACCAGCGAGCUGCCACUGUGCCCAGGGAAUGCUUUGCCUUCCAGCCCUAUCUAUUCUGGAACAGGUGCUAUACUAGUAAAUUAAUUAGUCUGUGGAGAAGCACCUUGUUCUCCAUCUCCGCAGGCCUCUUGUGGGUCAGGGCCUUGAGGACUUCGCCAUCUGGGCAGAGUUUCCCCCAGAGAAACAAUCAAAGUCCACAGAUUGCAGCCUACAGAGGAAGGUUCAGAUGACAAUUAACCUUAUUAGGCCCCAUUUUUUACAGUUUACAGUGUGUCAACAUGUUGGCUCCAUAAAUAAUCUGCUACAUCAAAUCAGUGAAAAGAAACAGUUUCUCUCUUUCUUGAAAGUUUUAAAAUCCUCUGGAAAAAAAAGGAUAAUUUUUUAAGAGAAAUGGUAUCAUUUAUAAAUACAUGAAUGUUGGGAUUAUUGAGUGGGAAGCUACACGGGCUCUAGAUUUCAAUUAAAGUUCAUGAAAAAUCUACUAUCCAUUUCUACUGAAUAUAAAUUUUGGGGGGAACUCAAUUUCUCUUACAGGUAUUUAAACUGUUUUCUGUCUCAGACCUAAUGCCUACUGUAUAUGUGGUCUUGUAG